rnacentral:rRNA from 1 species
AAAAUUUCGUGGAGGUCCGAACCCACGAGCGUUGAAAAGCUCGGGGAUGACUUGUGGGUAGCGGUGAAAUUCCAAUCGAGCCCGGAGAUAGCUGGUUCUCCCCGAAAUAGCUUUAGGGCUAGCCUCAAGGUGAGAGAUACGGAGGUAGAGCACUGAAUGUCCUAGGGGGUAUUGCACCUACCGAAGACUAUCAAACUCCGAAUGCCGUCAUCUUAUACUUGGGAGUCAGACUGUGGGUGAUAAGAUUCAUAGUCGAAAGGGCAACAGCCCAGAUCGUCAGCUAAGGUCCCUAAAUGUAAGUUAAGUGGUAAAGGAUGUGGGAUUGCACAGACAACCAGGAUGUUGGCUUAGAAGCAGCCACUCAUUCAAAGAGUGCGUAAUAGCUCACUGGUCGAGUGAUCCUGCGCCGAAGAUUUCCGGGGCUAAAACUUACUACCGAAGCUACGGCAUCAGUAAUGAUGGGUAGGGGAGCUUCCCAUACGGGUUGAAGCAUGACCGUAAGGACAUGUGGACAGUAUGGGAGUGAGAAUGUUGGCAUGAGUAGCGAGAUGUGGGUGAGAAUCCCACAGGCCGUAAACCCAAGGUUUCCAGGGGAAGGUUCGUCCGCCCUGGGUUAGUCGGGACCUAAGCUGAGGCCGAAAGGCGUAGG